rnacentral:lncRNA from 1 species
UGAAAGCGUGAGGUGAGGCGUGUGAAGUGACUGUCGGGUCUCUUCUGCGAGAGGUGCAGGAGUCUGGCUGCUUACAGUAAUUAUGGCGCUUAGACAGGCAGCGACGCUGCACGUUUUUCAGCGUGGAGAAUGCAAUGUAGGAACGAGGCCAAGCGCAGAGAUGCGGGUGUGGAAGUAGAAAGCAGGAAAAAGAAGGUGAUCAAAGGAGGACGUGUCGUAUAUUUAAAAAAACACAACAACAACAACAGAGGAACGGGUGAGAGGUGAAAUGGCGAUGAGGAAAGAAGUAGACUACGAGACGAGGAGAGAUGGAGUAGCUCUCCGCUUGAGCAAGCGAUGCCCCGUUGCCAUGGCAGCACCGUCUCUCUGGUCUCCGUGGGAACGGCUGAAUCCUGUUGCAGCUCGACUUUGCCCCUGGUGGGAAGCCCUGGAAUUAUCUGCCUGUUUCAAUCGAGUCCAGCCAGAUUCGUCCUCUUCUGUGGCUCCGGAGGAAGUCGUGGGUAGAGGGAAAACAACACAAUUUCAGCUUUUUGCUCGUCGAAAAUCAAAUAUCUUUGCAGUCGGGAGCAGAUGUGUGUUUUGUGCAGCUGUGACCCGCAUUGAAAUGGGAUCACAGUUAGAUGGUGACUGAAGACACUCAGAUGCUGCUCUUCCGUGCCUGUCAGCUAUGCUGAAUGGCUGUUAAUGCUGUAAUUGCAGAGUGUGUCUGAUAGCGGUGACAUUUACUCACAGCCAGCCGUGCCCUUUAAUGCUCUCCUUUCUCCUGUGUGCGGCUGGCACGGCAUCAUAUCAUAUGGAGGCUCGAUCCUCCUUCUUCUUCAUCUUAAUGGUUAUCGUACCUAAAACAUCUCUCUAAUGGUCUGUAGCCCUGAGAAGGCGAGAAAUGAGUGAAACGCUAGAGGACACACACUCCUGAGGCGUCUUUCCUCUCACAGAUGGUUGGUGGGACCUCUGGCUAUGUGUUGCCACAGGGUUCUUCCAUUGUUUCUCUGCCUGCUUCCUCCACAUUACCCUUGGAUCCCGCUCUAGAAAUCACAAUUUAUCACAUUUAUCCAGACACGCAUAAUUAUUAUUAUUAUUGUAUGGGUCAUAUACUGUCCUUAACACUAUAGUGUGCACACAGCUUCUACACACAUCACAAAUAACCUGCAUGCAUUAGUUUCAUUUGUGUACCAGUACAUCCAGUGCGCUGCUACUGGGUGGACAACAUUCGAUUUGAAAUUCCAGUAGCAUGUGCUCCACAACAGCUCAGUGCCACAUAAUUACCACGUUGGGGGCUUUUGCGUGUCACACCUCCCCGCGCUCCCUCCCGAUGUUUCCUGUUUGCCUCUCUGCAAAUUAGUGUCACUAUGGGCAAAUGUACCAAAAAUAAAAAUAAAGUUUUAGUAUUCUGUCA